CCUACGGGGGACAGCAGUGGGGAAUAUUGCACAAUGGGGGAAACCCUGAUGCAGCAACGCCGCGUGGGUGAAGAAGUAUUUCGGUAUGUAAAGUCCUAUCAGCAGGGAAGAGAAUGACGGUACCUUACUAAGAAGCCCCGCCUAACAACGUGCCAGCAGCCGCGGUAAUACGGGGGGUGCAAGCGUUAUCCCGAUUUAUUGGGUGUAAAGGGUGCGUAGGCUGUGAGGUAAGUCAGCGGUGAAAUGCCCCCGCUCAACGGGGUGAAGUGCCAUUGAUACUGCCUGGCUGGAAUGCGGAUGCGGUGGGAGGAAUGUGUGGUGUAGCGGUGAAAUGCAUAGAUAUCACACAGAACACCGAUUGCGAAGGCAUCUCACGAAUCCGCGAUUGACGCUGAUGCACGAAAGCGUGGGUAUCAAACAGGAUUAGAUACCCUAGUAGUC
rnacentral:rRNA from 1 species